ACUCUCCUCGUGGGCUUUUGCAGGUUGCUGGUGGUAAUUGGCGCACUGCUUCUCCUGUGUGGCCUGACGUCCCUGUGCUUCCGCUGCUGCUGUCUGAGCCGCCAGCAAAAUGGGGAAGAUGGGAGCCCACCACCCUAUGAAGUGACCGUCAUUGCUUUCGAUCACGACAGCACUCUCCAGAGCACUAUCACAUCUCUGCAGUCGGUGUUUGGCCCUGCAGCUCGGAGGAUCCUGGCUGUGGCUCACUCCCAUAGCUCCCUGGGCCAGCUGCCCUCCUCUUUGGACACCCUCCCAGGGUAUGAAGAAGCUCUUCACAUGAGUCGCUUCACAGUAGCCAGGUGCGGGCAGAAAGCACCUGAUCUACCCCCAGUGCCUGAAGAAAAGCAGCUGCCUCCAAUAGAGAAGGAACUGACUUGAAUAGUUGACUCUUGGAACUGAUGAGAGCUGUCAUUUUAUAAAUAGGGGUGGAGUUAUGUCCAGAGUCUCUGGGAAAAUGGAACACAUACUUUUCUAACCCUCAGAAGUUUUAGGAUGGCAUCUAACACCAUCAUUCUAUGGGAA
rnacentral:sRNA from 1 species